GAAUCGCAUGGCCUUGUGCCGGCGAUGCUUCAUUCAAAUAUCUGCCCUAUCAACUUUGAUGGUAGGAUAGAGGCCUACCAUGGUUGCAACGGGUAACGGGGAAUAAGGGUUCGAUUCCGGAGAGGGAGCCUGAGAAACGGCUACCACAUCCAAGGAAGGCAGCAGGCGCGCAAAUUACCCAAUCCCGACACGGGGAGGUAGUGACAAUAAAUAACAAUAUAGGGCCUUACAGGUCUUAUAAUUGGAAUGAGUACAAUUUGAAUCCCUUAACGAGGAACAAUUGGAGGGCAAGUCUGGUGCCAGCAGCCGCGGUAAUUCCAGCUCCAAUAGCGUAUAUUAAAGUUGUUGCAGUUAAAAAGCUCGUAGUUGAAUUUCAGGCCCUGGCCGAUCGGUCCGCUUCACGGCGUGCACUGUUUCGAUUGGGCCUUCCUUUCUUGGU
rnacentral:rRNA from 1 species